CCUACGGGAGGCAGCAGUGAGGAAUAUUGGUCAAUGGACGAGAGUCUGAACCAGCCAAGUAGCGUGAAGGAUGACUGCCCUAUGGGUUGUAAACUUCUUUUAUCAAGGAAUAAAACGAGGCACGUGUGCCUUUUUGCAUGUACUUUAUGCAUAAGGAUCGGCUAACUCCGUGCCAGCCGCCUCGGUAAUACGGAGGAUACGAGCGUUAUCCGGAUUUAUUGGGUUUAAAGGGAGCGUAGGUGGGUUGUUAAGUCAGUUGUGAAAGUUUGCGGCUCAACCGUAAAAUUGCAGUUGAUACGGGCAGUCUUGAGUACAGUAGAGGUAGGCGGAAUUCGUGGUGUAGCGGUGAAAUGCUUAGAUAUCACGAAGAACCCCGAUUGCGAAGGCAGCUUACUAAACUGUGACUGACAUUGAUGCUCGAAAGUGUGGGUAUCAAACAGGAUUAGAUACCCGAGUAGUC
rnacentral:rRNA from 1 species